rnacentral:rRNA from 1 species
GUGGAUUAGAUACCCUGGUAGUCCACGCCGUAAACGAUGGAUACUAGCUGUUCGAGAGCAAUCUUGAGUGGCUAAGCGAAAGUGAUAAGUAUCCCACCUGGGGAGUACGAACGCAAGUUUGAAACUCAAAGGAAUUGACGGGGGCCCGCACAAGCGGUGGAGCAUGUGGUUUAAUUCGAUGAUACGCGAGGAACCUUACCAAGGCUUAAAUGUAGAUUGACAGGACUGGAAACAGUUUUUUCUUCGGACAAUUUACAAGGUGCUGCAUGGCUGUCGUCAACU